rnacentral:lncRNA from 1 species
AUGCUCAAACAAUGGCCACCUAAUGCCAACACAUGCUGUCAUAUUCAGAAAAGAUGGUUUUGUUUGGGUUUGUUUAGGUUGCAAAAGGGAUUCGAAGAGAGACGAAAUUGGGGUUUGGAUUUGGGUAGAAAAGAAAACAAAGAGGAAGAGGAAGAACUGGGUUUUGAGGGCAAAGCUGUGGGUUUUGUAGGUUGUUCUUGA